rnacentral:rRNA from 1 species
AUGCUGGAGGUAUCAGAAGUGCGAAUGCUGACAUAAGUAACGAUAAAGCGGGUGAAAAGCCCGCUCGCCGGAAGACCAAGGGUUCCUGUCCAACGUUAAUCGGGGCAGGGUGAGUCGACCCCUAAGGCGAGGCCGAAAGGCGUAGUCGAUGGGAAACAGGUUAAUAUUCCUGUACUUGGUGUUACUGCGAAGGGGGGACGGAGAAGGCUAUGUUGGCCGGGCGACGGUUGUCCCGGUUUAAGCGUGUAGGCUGGUUUUCCAGGCAAAUCCGGAAAAUCAAGGCUGAGGCGUGAUGACGAGGCACUACGGUGCUGAAGCAACAAAUGCCCUGCUUCCAGGAAAAGCCUCUAAGCAUCAGGUAACAUCAAAUCGUACCCCAAACCGACACAGGUGGUCAGGUAGAGAAUACCAAGGCGCUUGAGAGAACUCGGGUGAAGGAACUAGGCAAAAUGGUGCCGUAACUUCGGGAGAAGGCACGCUGAUAUGUAGGUGAGGUCCCUCGCGGAUGGAGCUGAAAUCAGUCGAAGAUACCAGCUGGCUGCAACUGUUUAUUAAAAACACAGCACUGUGCAAACACGAAAGUGGACGUAUACGGUGUGACGCCUGCCCGGUGCCGGAAGGUUAAUUGAUGGGGUUAGCGGUAACGCGAAGCUCUUGAUCGAAGCCCCGGUAAACGGCGGCCGUAACUAUAACGGUCCUAAGGUAGCGAAAUUCCUUGUCGGGUAAGUUCCGACCUGCACGAAUGGCGUAAUGAUGGCCAGGCUGUCUCCACCCGAGACUCAGUGAAAUUGAACUCGCUGUGAAGAUGCAGUGUACCCGCGGCAAGACGGAAAGACCCCGUGAACCUUUACUAUAGCUUGACACUGAACAUUGAGCCUUGAUGUGUAGGAUAGGUGGGAGGCUUUGAAGUGUGGACGCCAGUCUGCAUGGAGCCGACCUUGAAAUACCACCCUUUAAUGUUUGAUGUUCUAACGUUGACCCGUAAUCCGGGUUGCGGACAGUGUCUGGUGGGUAGUUUGACUGGGGCGGUCUCCUCCUAAAGAGUAACGGAGGAGCACGAAGGUUGGCUAAUCCUGGUCGGACAUCAGGAGGUUAGUGCAAUGGCAUAAGCCAGCUUGACUGCGAGCGUGACGGCGCGAGCAGGUGCGAAAGCAGGUCAUAGUGAUCCGGUGGUUCUGAAUGGAAGGGCCAUCGCUCAACGGAUAAAAGGUACUCCGGGGAUAACAGGCUGAUACCGCCCAAGAGUUCAUAUCGACGGCGGUGUUUGGCACCUCGAUGUCGGCUCAUCACAUCCUGGGGCUGAAGUAGGUCCCAAGGGUAUGGCUGUUCGCCAUUUAAAGUGGUACGCGAGCUGGGUUUAGAACGUCGUGAGACAGUUCGGUCCCUAUCUGCCGUGGGCGCUGGAGAACUGAGGGGGGCUGCUCCUAGUACGAGAGGACCGGAGUGGACGCAUCACUGGUGUUCGGGUUGUCAUGCCAAUGGCACUGCCCGGUAGCUAAAUGCGGAAGAGAUAAGUGCUGAAAGCAUCUAAGCACGAAACUUGCCCCGAGAUGAGUUCUCCCUGAC